UCGCUCUGUCUAGUAAAAAUAGCAAACAUCAACAAAAACGACAUGCCGGUAGCAGUGAGAUUAGUGGAAUUCCUGACUAUCGCCACAUUAUUCAUUCUGGUUUCAACGGGAGCCUUCCUGCUUUAUUUCGCAGACAAAAUUUUACUCAUCUUCACAUGGAUCGUAACGCCGAUGAUAGACAUCAUUCAAAUCCUGCUGCUGUUUUUGCAAUAUUCAUUCUUUUGGAGCACAAAACAUUUGCUAAGAUUUCUGACCUCGACCGGGUCCUGCGAUCCUUCGAAUCCGAAGAAAGGCUGUGAUACGCCAAUCUAAAUUGGUAUUAUAAAAUGUAGAACACGGAAAUUUGUAUUAUGUAAAUAUAUUUAUUUUUAUCUAA